CCUACGGGUGGCAGCAGUCGAGAAUCAUUCACAAUGGGGGAAACCCUGAUGGUGCGACGCCGCGUGGGGGAAUGAAGGUCUUCGGAUUGUAAACCCCUGUCAUGUGGGAGCAAAUUAAAAAGAUAGUACCACAAGAGGAAGAGACGGCUAACUCUGUGCCAGCAGCCGCGGUAAUACAGAGGUCUCAAGCGUUGUUCGGAAUCACUGGGCGUAAGGCGUGCGUAGGCUGUUUCGUAAGUCGUGUGUGAAAGGCGCGGGCUCAACCCGCGGACGGCACAUGAUACUGCGAGACUAGAGUAAUGGAGGGGGAACCGGAAUUCUCGGUGUAGCAGUGAAAUGCGUAGAUAUCGAGAGGAACACUCGUGGCGAAGGCGGGUUCCUGGACAUUAACUGACGCUGAGGCACGAAGGCCAGGGGAGCGAAAGGGAUGAGAUACCCGAGUAGUA
rnacentral:rRNA from 1 species